rnacentral:rRNA from 1 species
GAGCGAACAGACGAGGAGCUUGCUCCUCUGACGUUAGCGGCGGACGGGUGAGUAACACGUGGAUAACCUACCUAUAAGACUGGGAUAACUUCGGGAAACCGGAGCUAAUACCGGAUAAUAUAUUGAACCGCAUGGUUCAAUAGUGAAAGACGGUUUUGCUGUCACUUAUAGAUGGAUCCGCGCCGCAUUAGCUAGUUGGUAAGGUAACGGCUUACCAAGGCAACGAUGCGUAGCCGACAUGAGAGGGUGAUCGGCCACACUGGAACUGAGACACGGUCCAGACUCCUACGGGAGGCAGCAGUAGGGAAUCUUCCGCAAUGGGCGAAAGCCUGACGGAGCAACGCCGCGUGAGUGAUGAAGGUCCUUCGGAUCGUAAAACUCUGUUAUUAGGGAAGAACAAAUGUGUAAGUAACUAUGCACGUCUUGACGGUACCUAAUCAGAAAGCCACGGCUAACUACGUGCCAGCAGCCGCGGUAAUACGUAGGUGGCAAGCGUUAUCCGGAAUUAUUGGGCGUAAAGCGCGCGUAGGCGGUUUUUUAAGUCUGAUGUGAAAGCCCACGGCUCAACCGUGGAGGGUCAUUGGAACUGGAAACUUGAGUGCAGAAGAGGAAAGUGGAUUCCAUGUGUAGCGGUGAAAUGCGAGAGAUAUGGAGGACACCAGUGGGAAGGCGACUUUU